GAUGAACGCUGGCGGCGUGCCUAAUACAUGCAAGUCGAGCGAACAGACGAGGAGCUUGCUCCUCUGACGUUAGCGGCGGACGGGUGAGUAACACGUGGAUAACCUACCUAUAAGACUGGGAUAACUUCGGGAAACCGGAGCUAAUACCGGAUAAUAUAUUGAACCGCAUGGUUCAAUAGUGAAAGACGGUUUUGCUGUCACUUAUAGAUGGAUCCGCGCCGCAUUAGCUAGUUGGUAAGGUAACGGCUUACCAAGGCAACGAUGCGUAACCGACCCGAGAGGGUGAUCGGCCACACUGGAACUGAGACACGGUCCAGACUCCUACGGGAGGCAGCAGUAGGGAAUCUUCCGCAAUGGGCGAAAGCCUGACGGAGCAACGCCGCGUGAGUGAUGAAGGUCUUCGGAUCGUAAAACUCUGUUAUUAGGGAAGAACAAAUGUGUAAGUAACUAUGCACGUCUUGACGGUACCUAAUCAGAAAGCCACGGCUAACUACGUG
rnacentral:rRNA from 1 species